rnacentral:piRNA from 1 species
UGCACGUGAUACUGCAGGAAGCCGAGC